GGUUCUGUAGGUUCUGUGUGGUUCUGUAGGUUCUGUAGGUUCUGUAGGUUCUGUGUGGUUCUGUAGGUUCUGUAGGUUCUGUAGGUUCUGUGUGGUUCUGUAGGUUCUGUGUGGUUCUGUGUGGUUCUGUAGGUUCUGUGUGGUUCUGUAGGUUCUGUGUGGUUCUGUGUGGUUUUGUAGGUUCUGUAGGUUCUGUGUGGUUCUGUAGGUUCUGUAGGUUCUGUAGGUUCUGUGUGGUUCUGUAGGUUCUGUGUGGUUCUGUAGGUUCUGUGUGGUUCUGUAGGUUCUGUGUGGUUCUGUGUGGUUCUGUAGGUUCUGUGUGGUUCUGUAGGUUCUGUGUGGUUCUGUAGGUUCUGUGUGGUUCUGUGUGGUUUUGUAGGUUCUGUAGGUUCUGUGUGGUUCUGUGUGGUUCUGUA